UGUAGAUAGUCAACAAAUAGAUAUAUGUGUCAACGGCCGGCGCGCGCGGUGAGGGCGGGUCGCUCACGCGCUCGCACAUCAUCGACUCGCAGGGAAGCGCAGACGUCGAUAAAUGGCGCCAAUUCCGUUUUGAAUGAUUGGCGCGCGCCGGCUAGAUGCACUUCUUAUAUAUAUAUUUUUCUUCUUUUCUAGGAAUAUUGAGAAUAAUUGUCCUGAGCACUUCAGUCUUUAUAACCUUUUAUUUUUCUGUGAGUGUGUGUGACCUUUUGACGUCAAGACUAGGUUAUAAUCAGGUCAUUGACUUUUCUAGACAUUUCUUGUGGCUGUUUCUGCCAGACAAGUCUGGAAUGUUGUUGACUACGGCCAGUGUUGAUUAGAGGACAAUUAACAACAUUCAGAUAAGAGUGGAAGAUGUAAGAGACAGAAAUACUAAGUCUAUGAUUAUUCGUUUCAAAAUAGCUUGAAGGGAAGUCAAAUAUUUAUUGAAUAAGAUAAAACAAAGACUUAUAAAAUCAAGUUGUUUGGCAUGUUGUUGCUCUCCACCAAGAAGGACACAGUGUAGUCGUAAGAAAAAGUCAAGCCAUCUCCCUGGAACUACACUACUGUAGAUGAAGCUCUAUAAACAGUCGCUACAGAGAUGUUACUAAAUGUCUAUUAAUGUAUCAAACGGUCAGGAGCAGAGAGUAGGCAUCCUGACAGUCCUAGCUCACAAUAGUCUCCCAGCCAGCUCAAGAUUAACAGUAACAAUAAAAGAAUACUAUAUUUGUAAAAAACGUUCGUACUGAAAGUGAGGACAAACUAGAUUUCUAUUUUCAUCGAUCUAUAUCUAUACGAAUGCUAUUGAUGCCUUUGAAAAAAAAAAUUAUUAAUUGUAUAGUGUUAAAACGUAAAAAAGGAAAAAAGAAAAACAAACUUUGACUUCUUCAAAACAUUUCACUAUGACCGGAGCGCCUUUACAAUGGGAAUGUAAAGAGAAGUAGAACCCUGAUUUUCAACGAACAUAUUAUUUAGAUAGAUAUAAAUAUAUAUAUAUAUAUAUAUAGAGAGAGAGACAGACUAUAAAUUACUGACGAGAUAAGGAGACACUAUUGAGACAGACGCACAUUUACAAGACAUAUGUCUCAAUUCUGUUCACUUAAAAAUACAAAAUCAAAGUUUUAAAAUGAAACCGUCCACACAAGUCAUCUCAAGACUGAAAAGCUUAUUUAAAAAAAAAAAGGCUUAA